rnacentral:rRNA from 1 species
GGUGAACGCUGGCGGCGUGCUUAAGACAUGCAAGUCGAACGAUCGUAUUCGGACGGUAGUGGCGCACGGGUGAGUAACGAGUAACUGACAUGCCCCCAAUUUCCGAAUAACCAUCCGAAAGGAGGGCCAAUACGGGAUGUGCUGUACCCUACUGUGGGGCCAGUAACGGCUUGACAGAUUGGGGAAGGGGUUGCGUUCCAUCAGCUAGUUGGUAGGGUAAAAGCUAACCAUGGCAACGACGGAUAGCCGGCCUGAGAGGCUGGCCGGGCACAGGGGCACUGAGACACGCGGCACGCACCUGCAGGGAGCAUCAGUUAGUAAGCUUCCCCAAUAGGCGAAAAUCUGAGGUGGCGACGCCACGUGAGGGGUUAAUGUAUUCGGAUCGUAAACCUCGGAAUCAUGUACAAAAGACGCGGAAGCGGUAUAACGUUACCUGAGAAAGAGCACCGGCUAACUCCGUG